UACGGAGGGGGCAAGCGUUAUUCGGAAUUAUUGGGCGUAAAGGGCGCGUAGGCGGCUAGAUGUGUCAAAGGUGAAAUCCCUCGGCUCAACUGAGGAACUGCCUUUGAAACUGUCUGGCUUGAGGCCGGGAGAGGGUAGCGGAAUUCCCAGUGUAGCGGUGAAAUGCGUAGAUAUCGCUUGGAACGCCCGCGGCGAAAGCGGAUGACUGGGGUUGUGCCGACGCUGAGACACGAAAGCCAGGGGAGCGAACGGG
rnacentral:rRNA from 1 species